UGGGGGAUAUUGCACAAUGGGCGAAAGCCUGAUGCAGCGACGCCGCGUGGGGGAUGAAGGCUUUCGGGUUGUAAACCUCUUUCGCUAUCGAACAAGGCCCGCUUAGGGUGGGUUGAGGGUAGGUGGAGAAGAAGCGCCGGCUAACUACGUGCCAGCAGCCGCGGUAAUACGUAGGGCGCGAGCGUUGUCCGGAAUUAUUGGGCGUAAAGGGCUUGUAGGCGGCUUGUUGCGCCUGCUGUGAAAACGCGGGGCUUAACUUCGCGCGUGCAGUGGGUAGGGGCAGGCUUGAGUGUGGUAGGGGUGACUGGAAUUCCAGGUGUAGCGGUGGAAUGCGCAGAUAUCUGGAAGAACACCGAUGGCGAAGGCAGGUCACUGGGCCAUUACUGACGCUGAGGAGCGAAAGCAUGGGUAGCGAACAGG
rnacentral:rRNA from 1 species